AUGUAGGUUCCUGGUACAAAACAUUUAGGUUAGCAUUCCGUGAAACAUGCUAGUUCUCAGAAGAGAUCUGAACCAGUCGUAGAGUAGCAGAGUAGCAGCUCUGAGGAGAUAGCUUGUGUCUUUUCUUCUCGGACAAACGUCCUUCUUUAAAAGUACUAGGAGGUAACUACCACUGACACAUACACACAGGAGACAGGAAACAGCUCAGAAACAUGAUGCUUUCUCUCUCUUUUUGCUAGAAAGAGGAGGGGACUGAAGUUGUGGUUGGUUAAAGUAAUAUACAUCGUCACAACUGUCCAACACAUUCAAUAAACAUUGGAGACGGUACAGGUCAGAAGUGUAAAACACCAUCACAUAUACAAAGGAAAAAUAACAAGAAACAUGUUGGUAGGUGGUGUCUGGAGUUGAGGACAGAGUUGGUUCAGAGGAGAUGGAGGAGUUGGACAGGGAGAGAGUAGAGUUGGUUCAGAGGAGAUGGAGGAGUUGGACAGAGAGAGAGAGUAGAGUUGGUUCAGAGGAGAUGGAGGAGUUGGACAGGGAGAGAGUAGAGUUGGUUCAGAGGAGAUGGAGGAGUUGGACAGAGAGAGAGAGUAGAGUUGGUUCAGAGGAGAUGGAGGAGUUGGACAGAGAGAGAGAGUAGAGUUGGUUCAGAGGAGAUGGAGGAGUUGGACAGAGAGAGAGAGUAGAGUUGGUUCAGAGGAGAUGGAGGAGUUGGACAAAGAGAGAGUAGAGUUGGUUCAGAGGAGAUGGAGGAGUUGGACAGAGAGAGAGAGUAGAGUUGGUUCAGAGGAGAUGGAGGAGUUGGACAGAGAGAGAGAGUAGAGUUGGUUCAGAGGAGAUGGAGGAGUUGGACAGAGAGAGAGAGUAGAGUUGGUUCAGAGGAGAUGGAGGAGUUGGACAGAGAGAGAGAGUAGAGUUGGUUCAGAGGAGAUGGAGGAGUUGGACAAAGAGA